GACAGAGGAUGCAAGCGUUAUCCGGAAUUACUGGGCGUAAAGCGUGCGUAGGUGGUUUGUUAAGACCGAUGUGAAAUCCCCGGGCUUAACCUGGGAACUGCAUUGGUGACUGCAGCGCUGGAGUAUGGCAGAGGGGGUGGAAUUCCACGUGUAGCAGUGAAAUGCGUAGAGAUGUGGAGGAACACCGAUGGCGAAGGCAGCCCCCUGGGCCAAUACUGACGCUCAUGCACGAAAGCGUGGGAGCAACAGG
rnacentral:rRNA from 1 species